UUAACUGGAGUUUCCCUUCAAUCUGAUCUCUAGCGGCUCUUCAUUCACGAAUCUCUGAUUCACUCAAUUCAUCCAAAAAGUUCCGUUUACAAAAAUGCCUCUGAGGUUGGAGAUUAAGAGAAAACUUGCUCAAAGAUCGGAAAGGGUAAAGUCAGUGGAUCUACAUCCUUCCGAGCCAUGGAUAUUGGCAAGUUUGUAUUCAGGGACUGUAUGCAUCUGGAACUACCAGACCCAGACAAUGGUUAAAUCUUUCGAGGUGACUGAAUUACCAGUUAGGUCAGCGAAGUUUAUAGCACGCAAGCAAUGGGUUGUUGCCGGUGCUGAUGAUAUGUACAUUCGUGUAUACAAUUACAAUACCAUGGACAAGGUCAAAGUAUUCGAAGCGCACACUGAUUAUAUUAGGUGUGUGGCUGUUCAUCCUUCUCUACCAUAUGUGCUGUCAUCUUCUGAUGACAUGCUUAUAAAGCUAUGGGACUGGGAGAAAGGAUGGCUAUGCACUCAAAUUUUUGAGGGUCAUUCCCAUUAUGUGAUGCAAGUCACAUUUAAUCCCAAAGAUACCAAUACAUUUGCCAGUGCAUCUCUUGAUCGGACUAUAAAGAUUUGGAACCUCGGCUCCCCUGACCCAAACUUCACAUUGGAUGCGCAUCUAAAGGGAGUCAAUUGUGUUGACUAUUUCACUGGUGGUGACAAACCUUAUUUGAUCAGUGGUUCUGAUGACCACACUGCUAAGGUCUGGGAUUAUCAGACUAAAAGUUGUGUCCAGACUCUUGAAGGCCAUACACACAAUGUCUCCGCCGUAUGUUUUCAUCCUGAGCUUCCUAUUAUAAUUACAGGGUCUGAAGAUGGUACAGUUCGUAUAUGGCAUGCAACUACUUAUAGACUUGAGAACACUUUGAAUUAUGGUCUUGAAAGAGUAUGGGCAAUUG
rnacentral:misc_RNA from 1 species